CCUACGGGAGGCAGCAGUGGGGAAUAUUGGACAAUGGGCGCAAGCCUGAUCCAGCCAUGCCGCGUGUGUGAAGAAGGCCUUCGGGUUGUAAAGCACUUUUAUCCGGAAAGAAAAGCUUUGGGUUAAUACCCUGAAGUCAUGACGGUACCGGAAGAAUAAGCACCGGCUAACUUCGUGCCAGCAGCCGCGGUAAUACGAAGGGUGCAAGCGUUACUCGGAAUUACUGGGCGUAAAGCGUGCGUAGGUGGUUUGUUAAGUCUGAUGUGAAAGCCCUAGGCUCAACCUGGGAAUUGCAUUGGAUACUGGCAGGCUAGAGUGCGGUAGAGGAUAGUGGAAUUCCCGGUGUAGCAGUGAAAUGCGUAGAGAUCGGGAGGAACAUCUGUGGCGAAGGCGACUAUCUGGGCCAGCACUGACACUGAGGCACGAAAGCGUGGGGAGCAAACAGGAUUAGAUACCCUGGUAGUCCACGCCCUAAACGAUGCGAACUGGAUGUUGGGUGCAACUAGGCACUCAGUAUCGAAGCUAACGCGUUAAGUUCGCCGCCUGGGGAGUCGGUCGCAAGCUUGAAACCUNAAAGAGUAGUAGGACGAGAGACGACGCGACGGACGGACGACGAGGGAGGGAGGAG
rnacentral:rRNA from 1 species